rnacentral:lncRNA from 1 species
ACCCGUAAACCCUUGUCGGGAGUUUCCCGGUACCUCCGAUAGGUAUCGGAAGUUCCAAAACAGUGUCGGAAGUUCCAACAAAGGUAUUUUGAGUUCUGUUUUGCUUCAAGCUUUUGAGUUUUACUUCCAGUUGCUUCUCGAGGGUCCCGCUGUGUCUUUUGGUUAUAAUCACAGACACCCAACCACCUUGUUGGCUCGUGGGUCUCUCUUCUUCCACUUGUUUGGAUUUGGGGUUUGAAUUUGGGACAGAAGCCUAAGUUUUCGAAAGAAAUAUUUGAGGCUCCUAUUCACCCCCCUC